GCAUUCUGGGAGCACUGUCCUUGGCAGACAUCAGUAGAAAACAGCCCAGAAACAGAAGUGUAGAUAAGAGAUGUGUCCCAGGGCUGACGCAAUACAAAUUUCAAGGCUGUGGAACCAGGAGAAGGUCUGAGGAACGGAGCUCCCGGAAGUAAAGGCAUUGCCUCACAUUUGAGUGGAUCCAGAGCAUGGGAUGAUGUCACCUACAUUCAGAAUAAGUGUUUCCUUCUCAGAUAAAUCCAGAGCAUGACUUCAGGAUUUGUGGUCAGAAGCACGAGGUGGAGAAGUCCUGAUACAAUCUUUGUACUGUACGGUUGCCGUCUGGACUUCAUUGACUAUCCCGGAGCGAUCCAGCACAAGUGACAAGUGAAGACCUUGGCUGUGUUUCAGAAGCACAAUUACAACUCUUGGGGUAAAGAGCCUCAGCGACAAGGCCCAGGAAAGCAGGUGUAUUGAGAAUUAGAGGUAGUCACAGGGGAUGAAACAUAAAAUCAACGUGCCAGAGGUUGACCUGGGCUCUUCCACCCUCACUGUGAUCUUCAGUUUCGCUGCGUGCACUCAAGGCACAAACCUGGGAUUUGAGAUUUCAAGCUGUGUCUGUAAACUUAUUUUCAGAGACUCGGAGCGGGCCCCAGAGGAGAGGUAGGGAGUGGUCCUGGCAGCUGUUGGAUGAAGCAGGUUGGAAGGGCCUUGAGAGCAGAGGUCUGUUGUUUAACAUCAUCUUCGAGUGUACCCUAGCACGGCGGUCUCGGCUGGAGAGAUUUUCUGUGUGCUGAACUUAGAUGGAUAUGUCAAAGUGUACUCAAGCUUUCUUGAACUUUUUCCCCAUCUGAAAUCACUAAAAAUGUGCAGUAUUUCAAAAAGCCCAAGUUUGCCUCCAAAUAUGCUUGUGAAAUGUAUUUCAACACACAUAUCCAACAGUAAGAACAUGCUGGCCAUAUCAAUCCUCACAGCAACUCUUUAUUGCAGCAUAUUGAGGUUUAAUCAGGAAACAGGUUAGAGCUUCUAUGUACAGGUUUUCUUCUAGUUUGAGGUUUUCCUGAAAUAUGUGACACAGACUCGUUAUACAAAUGGCCACUAGUAAAUUAUUUCCAGCAUGUGUUACUCUGUCAACAGUGAUGCUUUCACAGAACCUUUGUCCUCCACAAUUCCCCCCCUCCAUUUAAACCAGGACAUUUCCAUCUCAGUGAGCCACUGCUGUAUUUGGGACCUAAGCGAGAAGCUGGAUAAACAGAGGCGCUAUUAUUAUUGUUACUGUCAAUAUAGUUUCCUUCCCUAGUUAUAACUGAUUAUUUCCUUUUUUCCAUUUCAAAACAUUUUUGUUCAAAUGCUUCUGAUGGCUCUCGUCACAAGCAAUAUUCCUUCGGAAAUAAUGCACCUUUUUAAUUUCUCAACCUAAAAUACACAGCCCGUCAUCUCCAUAGUAGGAUGAUGCUGUUAGAGAGAUCAGCUGUGUCUAGUUGGAGAAUUUUUAGGGGAAUAAGGGAUUACAGGAGCGAGUGCUUCCUCUAUUAGUUCGUGCAAAGUGAAGACAAGAAAGAAAGUCUGUAGGAUGUAAGAGGUGAUGUUACUCCAGCAAGAGUUGGGCAUUUGGAAACACAUGGAGUUAAAAGCAGUUUUCACUUAAUGUGCUUUGUUGUUUCUGCUACAAUAAAAAUAAAUAAUAAAAAUUCUGUUUUGCUUCUUUAUAA
rnacentral:lncRNA from 1 species